CCUACGGGAGGCAGCAGUGGGGAAUUUUGGACAAUGGGCGCAAGCCUGAUCCAGCAAUGCCGCGUGAGUGAAGAAGGCCUUCGGGUUGUAAAGCUCUUUUGUCAGGGAAGAAACGGUGGGGGCUAAUAUCUCCUACUAAUGACGGUACCUGAAGAAUAAGCACCGGCUAACUACGUGCCAGCAGCCGCGGUAAUACGUAGGGUGCAAGCGUUAAUCGGAAUUACUGGGCGUAAAGCGUGCGCAGGCGGUUUUGUAAGUCUGUCGUGAAAGCCCCGGGCUCAACCUGGGAAUUGCGAUGGAGACUGCAAGGCUUGAAUCUGGCAGAGGGGGGUAGAAUUCCACGUGUAGCAGUGAAAUGCGUAGAGAUGUGGAGGAACACCGAUGGCGAAGGCAGCCCCCUGGGUCAAGAUUGACGCUCAUGCACGAAAGCGUGGGGAGCAAACAGGAUUAGAUACCCUGGUAGUCCACGCCCUAAACGAUGUCUACUAGUUGUCGGGUUUUAAUUAACUUGGUAACGCAGCUAACGCGUGAAGUAGACCGCCUGGGGAUACGGUCGCAAGNUUAAAACUCAAAGGAUUGACGG
rnacentral:rRNA from 1 species